GUCCCAAUGGGCCCCAUAGGAUCCCAUUAGGGCCCCCUUUAAAUCCCAAUGGGCCCCAUAGGAUCCCAUUUACCCCCAUUAGUCCCAAUGGGCCCCAUAGGAUCCCAUUAGGGCCCCCUUUAAAUCCCAAUGGACCUCAUAGGCACCCCAUCAUAGUGCCCCCAUUAGUCCCAAUGGCCCCAUAGGAUCCCUACAUUGGGAUUUAAAGGGGGCCCUAAUGGGAUCCUAUGAGUCCCAUUGGGAUUUAAAGGGGGCCCUAUAGGGAUCCUAUGAGGCCCAUUGGGAUUUAAAGGGGGCCCUAAUGGGAUCCUAUGGGGCCCAUUGGGAUUUAAAGGGUCCGAACUGGGAUCAAAUGGGCUCAAAGCUAUAGGGCGGCACA
rnacentral:lncRNA from 1 species